UGGGGAAUCUUGCGCAAUGCGCGAAAGCGUGACGCAGCAACGCCGCGUGGGGGAAGAAGGCCUUCGGGUUGUAAACCCCUUUCAGGAGGGACGAAGGUGCGACGGUGAACAGCCGCUCGCACUGACGGUACCUCCAGAAGAAGCCCCGGCUAACUACGUGCCAGCAGCCGCGGUAAUACGUAGGGGGCAAGCGUUGUCCGGAAUCAUUGGGCGUAAAGCGCGCGUAGGCGGCCCGGUAAGUCCGCUCUGAAAGUCCAAGGCUCAACCUUGGGAUGCGGGUGGAUACUGCCGGGCUAGAGUCCGGAAGAGGCGAGUGGAAUUCCUGGUGUAGCGGUGGAAUGCGCAGAUAUCAGGAGGAACACCGAUAGCGAAGGCAGCUCGCUGGGACGGUACUGACGCUAAGGCGCGAAAGCGUGGGGAGCGAACAG
rnacentral:rRNA from 1 species